AAGUUUAGCACCACCACAUGUUAUUUUACUCAUGAGCUGAGUUGAGAUUUCAGAAAUUGCUAAUGGCCAAGACCAUUUAUUUCUAACAACCCUCACCAGAUCACAAAUACCCAUUUCGAGGUUUAUCUUUUCUCACUACUUGUUUAAUAUACUAGUGUUUCAGGAGAUAUUGUUAAGUCGAACUCCUACCUAGAUCUUUAAGUUACAUCGAUCCACAACUUGACAAUGGACUAUACCUUGAAUUGCUAGUUUUGUGUGAACAUGUUUCACCCAAAGUCUUAACCAGUAUCUGGCUGCCAGUAGGCUACCCCAUGGUUCGGAGCAUAUAUGGUGUAUAACAUGGUCUCUUCGUGAGCUAAGUAGAGAUCAUCCAAGUCUCAUAGGUUGCGACGCUCACAAUUGAAGCUCAUAUUGGUGAGUUCUUUCAAGACUACUCUAUAGGACAUGGCUAUCUUGCUACACACUUUCUACUAUUUUUGCUUGUCACUUGUUACGUAUUAUCUUGCUACCAAACUAUCUAUCGCUGUUACUCACAACACUUGUAGAGAAUACCUUGUUGAAACUACUUAUUGUUUCCUUCUGCUCCUCGUUGGGUUCGACACUCUAACUUAUCAAAAGGACUAUGAUUUAUCUCCUAUACUUGUGGGUCAUCAAGACUCUUUUCUGAUGUCGUUAUCAGGGAGUGAAGCGCCUUUGGUAAGUGAAACUUGGUAAGGAAACAUUUUCGAUACG
rnacentral:lncRNA from 1 species